rnacentral:misc_RNA from 1 species
GAUGAAGAACGUAGCGAAAUGCGAUAAGUAAUGUGAAUUGCAGAAUUCAGUGAAUCAUCGAAUCUUUGAACGCACAUUGCGCCCGCUAGUAUUCUGGCGGGCAUGCCUGUCCGAGCGUCAUUUCAACCCUCAAGCCCCCGGGCUUGGUGUUGGGGAUCGGCGAGCCUCCGCGCCCGCCGUCCCCUAAAUCUAGUGGCGGUCUCGCUGUAGCUUCCUCUGCGUAGUAGCACACCUCGCACUGGGAAACAGCGCGGCCACGCCGUUAAACCCCCAACUUCUGAACGUUUGACCUCGGAUCAGGUAGGGAUACCCGCUGAACUUAAGCAUAUCAAUAAGCGGAGGA